rnacentral:rRNA from 1 species
GAUGAACGCUGGCGGCGUGCCUAAUACAUGCAAGUCGAGCGAACAGACGAGGAGCUUGCUCCUCUGACGUUAGCGGCGGACGGGUGAGUAACACGUGGAUAACCUACCUAUAAGACUGGGAUAACUUCGGGAAACCGGAGCUAAUACCGGAUAAUAUAUUGGACCGCAUGGUUCAAUAGUGAAAGACGGUUUUGCUGUCACUUAUAGAUGGAUCCGCGCCGCAUUAGCUAGUUGGUAAGGUAACGGCUUACCAAGGCAACGAUGCGUAGCCGACCUGAGAGGGUGAUCGGCCACACUGGAACUGAGACACGGUCCAGACUCCUACGGGAGGCAGCAGUAGGGAAUCUUCCGCAAUGGGCGAAAGCCUGACGGAGCAACGCCGCGUGAGUGAUGAAGGUCUUCGGAUCGUAAAACUCUGUUAUUAGGGAAGAACAAAUGUGUAAGUAACUAUGCACGUCUUGACGGUACCUAAUCAGAAAGCCACGGCUAACUACGUGCCAGCAGCCGCAGUAAUAC